UCCGGUUUGGCACCGGCAGUCUCUCAUGAGUCCCCGGCAUUACCCGCUGGCAACAUGAAAUAGGGGUUGCGCUCGUUGCGCCACUUAAGGCAACACCUCACGGCACGAGCUGACGACAGCCAUGCAGCACCUGUGCGGGCUCCCGAAGGAGCGCCGUGUUUCCACGGUUUCACCCCGCAUGUCAAGCCCUGGUAAGGUUCUUCGCGUAGUGGCGAGAACUCUAUGGAGACUGCCGGUGAUAAACCGGAGGAAGGUGGGGAUGACGUAGACCUUGGACC
rnacentral:misc_RNA from 1 species